rnacentral:lncRNA from 1 species
GAGCAUAGUUGGUGCACUUCGGUACCUAACUCUUAUUUGGCCUAAUAUAGUUUUCAGAAAUGCUAAUAAAAACCGCGCACGAUAUGAGGAUGCGGCCCGCACACAUCGCCCAUGCCGAUCUCUCUCUUUCUCUCUCUCUCCUAGCAGCGGCGACCUGGUGGCGUCCUCCCCGCAUCCGUGCCCCCACCGCCUCCCCCGCGCACGGCCAUGGCGGAUGUGGCGGCGGAGACGCUGGAUCUAGCGGUGGCAGAUCCGCCGAAUGCGGCUACGGCGGCGAUAGAUCUGCCAGAUCUGGCGGCAACGGGGCUAGGUAGGCCUUCUCUCUCUCUCUCUCUCUCUCUCUCUCUCUCUCUCUCUCUCUCUAAUCGGGCUAGGAUUUCAACAAGCUUUCCCUUCUCCCCCAACUCCGGUGGGUUAUAGAAUGGUCGGUCGGGGAGGGAGGCAGGUAGGCUAGGCGGUGGGGAUGAUCGAUGGGUGACUUAGAGGAGCUGGCGGCGAUAGAGGCAGUUGGGCCAGGUCAGGGCCAGGGAGGCUCGGCGGAGCUAGAGAAGGUGGCGGCGGGCGAGCUCGUCAGAGCUAGAGAAGAUGGCGGCAGUGGAGGGGAGAGGGGAAGAGGGAGGCCAUCGUGGGCUAGGGUUCGCCGGAGCUUCGGCAAACCCUAGCGCCCAUGGCAGGGCGGUGGCCGCCGGCGGGGGUGACGACGUCGAAGUUAGGGAAUAAAAGAUCUGGUCUAUUUUUUAUUUCAGUUUUUGGCAACAAAGUUAUUUGUUUCUCAAAUUAGAGUGUGCAGAAAGUGCAUUUCCUACACACACAUGCUGUAGUAAUGUCCUAUAUAGUUUUUCUUGUAAGCAAGGUCUGUCAAUAUUUACAUGCUCCUAUUAUCAUUGGGUUCUUGUGAAGAGACUUUUUAGGUACUUAAAACAGUGUCCAUGUGGAGUACUGAGGUAGAAGUCGACUGUAUCAUUUUGUAAGAGAGAGUGACUAGAAAAUUAUUGGAGAUUGACUUUGUCCCCUUUUGAGAUCAAAUUGCAGAUGGAAGCUCUACAUGUACCGCAGCCGCAGUUGGUGAACUUCAAACACAAUCUCAACCUCGAAUGGCUGUGAUUGAGGGAGGUGGUUAGAAGUAGCAAAUUUGCUGUAUCUCAACAAACUGAACUGGCUUGAUAUGCGUAGCAUAUAGAUCUUUUGGAGUUUGUUGUACUUUAGUAUUGUUGAUCAAGUCUGUUACAACUAACAACCUUGUGCACGUGCCACGAAAAAAUUGCUGCUUCUCCCAGACGUUUUCGCGCCUCUGAUCAUCUUUUCAACCGUAGCACUGAUUCACUGAACAAUGC